rnacentral:lncRNA from 1 species
CUUAAUCUAGACACAGUAUCAUUCUUUGACCAUUAGAAACUUUUGAGAAGGAGAUCUCUUUCGGGUAACCAUAAAGUACGCCAUUUACAAAGAUCACUUGCCGAGGACCAAUAAGAAGAGCUUCACAUUGCACAGUGAAGUAAUGGCCCACUUCACAGCUGUUUACGCAUUUCUCUAGUCUGCCGGAGGAAUUGAGAAGGACAUCCUUUCGCCCGUCGGUAAUUGAACCAUAACCGAUUCCUUCAUCAUUAUUAAA